rnacentral:lncRNA from 1 species
GUACAAGUAGUUGGAACCCCUCCUUUGUCCUGGGUUAGGACCCCUCUUUUAAAUGGCUGGAUCCGCCCCUGGGGGAAACUGUUCAGCUUAUCAUUUUCUAGUUGAAUUUGUUGUUUGUCAUUACAAAAUCAUUUUAAAGUUUACAUUUGCUGUUAGGGGUCAUGGUCUUUGAUAGAUCAACACCUCUUUAGAUAAGUUAAGAACCGCUAAAAAAAACUGUGUGUGGUGACAAAAUAGCGGUUCCUUUCCAUUUAGAGAAAUUCCACUUGUACUGUUUAUGAGUUGUGGCACGUGUUUGUUUUCAAUUUAAUCGUUAUAUCAAGUAAUAGCUUUAAAAAAAAAGCUAACCGUCUCUUAGCGGAUGAAAAUGGAAAGUGUUCUCGCUUUGUAGAUUAAUUCUUUCAGAAUAGCCUUGCAUAUCAAUCAACAAAUUUUACCACAUACUAGUACGUGAGUUCACACGUUAUGAAGUAGUGUAUCGUUUAAUGUUGUGUGUGUUUACAAAACUCCAGGAGAUUCGGAUAUUUAUAGAUAAAAGUUACCUGUGUACCAAUAUGCAUAAUUUAUGACAAGGCAAAAUCUAAUUUCUAAAAUAGAGAGGACAAAUCCGAUACUCUACGGGAUUGAAAGACAUUUACUAGGUUUGGAUUGUCCCAACCAAUCAACGAACUUUAAUUAUUCACGUCUCAGUAAUAUCUUCCAAUCAGGUAGUAAGAAGCCUUCAGCCCGCAGACUGACCAACGUUCAAUUCUUAAUAACGUCUCCGAGGAGACGUUAAUGAUUUUUAGUCAUUCACUAAAAUCGUUUCAUAUUUUAAAUGAAUUUAUACGUCUUCUUCAAUGUAAAUACAUGACCACACCCUUCAUAUAUAAACCUAUAUGUAAACACAUUUUACUCGUGAUUAUGCUAGGAGCCGUCUAUAACUUGCAGUGAGGUGAAAAUUUUUCUCCAUAUUGAAGGUCUCGCUGUAACUUAUAGAUGGAGAAUAUCAAUUCAACUGUUUACCUUUGCCCUCGUUUCUUUUCCCCCUUUUUUGCAUAUCGAUUUUGUGUCAUGAAUUUCAACCAAUGGUAUUUUCCAUUUUGUAUGAGUAUUUUGAAUAUGUGGUAUGAUUGCCAAUGAGGCAACUCUCCACCGGUGCCCAAAUGACAUAGAAUUAUGAAAGGCUUUUACGGUCCAUGGAUAAAACAUUGACAGAGAAGUUUUAAUUUGUAGUAUUUUAAUCAAAUGUAU